rnacentral:rRNA from 1 species
UGCAGUCGAGCGGUAGCACAGAGAGCUUGCUCUCGGGUGACGAGCGGCGGACGGGUGAGUAAUGUCUGGGAAACUGCCUGAUGGAGGGGGAUAACUACUGGAAACGGUAGCUAAUACCGCAUAAUGUCGCAAGACCAAAGUGGGGGACCUUCGGGCCUCAUGCCAUCAGAUGUGCCCAGAUGGGAUUAGCUAGUAGGUGGGGUAACGGCUCACCUAGGCGACGAUCCCUAGCUGGUCUGAGAGGAUGACCAGCCACACUGGAACUGAGACACGGUCCAGACUCCUACGGGAGGCAGCAGUGGGGAAUAUUGCACAAUGGGCGCAAGCCUGAUGCAGCCAUGCCGCGUGUGUGAAGAAGGCCUUCGGGUUGUAAAGCACUUUCAGCGGGGAGGAAGGCGGUGAGGUUAAUAACCUUGUCGAUUGACGUUACCCGCAGAAGAAGCACCGGCUAACUCCGUGCCAGCAGCCGCGGUAAUACGGAGGGUGCAAGCGUUAAUCGGAAUUACUGGGCGUAAAGCGCACGCAGGCGGUCUGUCAAGUCGGAUGUGAAAUCCCCGGGCUCAACCUGGGAACUGCAUUCGAAACUGGCAGGCUAGAGUCUUGUAGAGGGGGGUAGAAUUCCAGGUGUAGCGGUGAAAUGCGUAGAGAUCUGGAGGAAUACCGGUGGCGAAGGCGGCCCCCUGGACAAAGACUGACGCUCAGGUGCGAAAGCGUGGGGAGCAAACAGGAUUAGAUACCCUGGUAGUCCACGCCGUAAACGAUGUCGAUUUGGAGGUUGUGCCCUUGAGGCGUGGCUUCCGGAGCUAACGCGUUAAAUCGACCGCCUGGGGAGUACGGCCGCAAGGUUAAAACUCAAAUGAAUUGACGGGGGCCCGCACAAGCGGUGGAGCAUGUGGUUUAAUUCGAUGCAACGCGAAGAACCUUACCUGGUCUUGACUUCCACAGAACUUUCCAGAGAUGGAUUGGUGCCUUCGGGAACUGUGAAACAGGUGCUGCAUGGCUGUCGUCAGCUCGUGUUGUGAAAUGUUGGGUUAAGUCCCGCAACGAGCGCACCC